AAAUUGUAAAACUGUGAUGGAGAGAUCCUGGCUGGUCUCUUGGCCCACAAAAGCUGCUCUAUCCCUCCCUUCCUCAGCUGGACGGGGGAAAGAAAAUAAAAUGAAAGGCUCAUGGGUCAACCUUUCUCUUGCUCCUGUCUCCCAGCUGCAGCUGUGCAGGUUUCUUCCCCCUCUUCAAAACACAGAGCCAGACAGAGUCUUCUAAGUUACCUUUUCUGCCACAGGACCCAUUCGCUAUGUGAUCAAAACAGAGCGUAUGACACACGCAGAUGAUUAAUGAUUGCAGUAAUUAAGAAGGUGGCUGAUUUUCACAUGUUAAGUCCUGGCUGUUCCCCUCUCGACCUCAGCUUCUGCAGUCAGAGACUCAUCCAUGACCAGAAGCACCCCUGGAAUGAGGUGCCAAGCAAUGAGCUGAUGCCUCAAAGUCAUCCAAGACUGAAAAAGGCUGGAUGGCCACAAAACCUCCUGGCAUGUGGAGCACAACCAUAACACCAAGAUGUGAAAGUUGCAAAAAGACAAAUCUGAAAGCUUUGGCAACUUUUCCUCCAUCAGGCAAACAGAUAUUGGCACCUGUGUCUGCUCAAGCUUUGCCUGCUGAUGUAAAGCCAGCCAGUUCAAGUCCUUCAAAUCCCAGCUGGUUCCUCAGGUACUGGCACCAAAAUUGAAGGAUGAAGAGUUUCUACAUAAACACUGACCACAGAGCAGGGCUGUGACAAGACACUGGAAACAGAUCAAGUGAGGACAAAAAUAUUUGUGUAUUCUUGGUCUUUCCUUUGACCUGCCACUUCUCAGGUGCUUCAGGAGGCACUGUACCACUGACUGAGGGGACAGAAAAGAAAUCCCUAAACCAAAACACAGAGAAUAAAUCAGAAU
rnacentral:lncRNA from 1 species